rnacentral:tRNA from 1 species
GGCCGGGUAGCUCAGUCGGUAGAGCAGUGGACUGAAAAUCCUCGUGUCGGCAGUUCGAUUCUGCCCCCGGCCACCA